rnacentral:rRNA from 1 species
AGAUGGCGACCGGCGCACGGGUGAGUAACACGUAUCCAACCUGCCGAUAACUCGGGGAUAGCCUUUCGAAAGAAAGAUUAAUACCCGAUGGCAUAAUAGAACCGCAUGAUUUGAUUAUUAAAGAAUUUCGGUUAUCGAUGGGGAUGCGUUCCAUUAGGCAGUUGGUGGGGUAACGGCCCACCAAACCUUCGAUGGAUAGGGGUUCUGAGAGGAAGGUCCCCCACAUUGGAACUGAGACACGGUCCAA